UGUGUAGGCGGCCGCGCAAGUCGGAUGUGAAAGCCCCGGGCUCAACCCGGGAAGUGCACCCGAAACUGCGUGGCUUGAGUACCGGAGAGGUUGGUGGAAUUCUCGGUGUAGAGGUGAAAUUCGUAGAUAUCGAGAGGAACACCGGUGGCGAAGGCGGCCAACUGGACGAGUACUGACGCUGAGACACGAAAGCGUGGGGAGCAAACAGGAUUAGAUACCCUGGUAGUCCACGCCGUAAACGAUGGGUGCUAGGUGUCACGGGCUUUGACUCCUGUGGUGCCGUAGCCAACGCAUUAAGCACCCCGCCUGGGAGGUACGGCCGCAAGGCUAAA
rnacentral:rRNA from 1 species